rnacentral:misc_RNA from 1 species
CGAAAUAUUAAAGUUUUUAUUGCAUAAUGGAUUAAUACAAUAAAAAAGCCCAAAGAUGACAUAGUUACAAAAAAGAAAAGGAGGCCCAAAGGAAAGCUCUGCACUAUAAAUGGCCCAAAGGCCCACAAAUAAAGCCACGGAGAAGAGGCGGUAGUCAAGCACGAUACUACCAGGCUCCACGCUCAACCUGGAUGAAGACCCUGGGGAUCCCGAACGAAACUGACCGUCAAAUAUCACACGCAAAGCCAUCCUUUCAUUGAACAAAGCAAAGCCUCCAUAGACAAAAACCCACCGACUCCGACCAUCUGCGGAGAGAGUUAAUGGGCAGAGCUCAAACACAGCAUCUAUGCUUGUGAGGCCAAAACAGACAAGCCAGUUAAGGUACCCCUGAGAUGCCUGUCCUCAAGGUAGCAAAGCACCCUCCCGUGGGUUAAACUAGAAAGCCAUAUCCAAGUCUAAUUAUGGCUUCUCUGGGCAACGACAACACCAUCGCACGUUGACACAGCAAGCUCCCUCUGGUCACACUCCAAUGCAUGCACAACAAAAGAACACGAAAAAAAAAAUUAUAUUCAAAUCCUGUCCAGUGGUGGGGAAGGACAAACUCAUGUCCAGGUGUAGACGGAAAUUGUCGUCCCUUGCCCAGAAGGGGCAGGGGAUAACUUGGCAAAAAACCAGGAGAGACUAGAGAAAUUUUCUUUCUGACAACUAGAGAGAGAGAACCCGUCUGAAGAAUGAACAAUUGAAUACCUAAGAUGACACGGCCUUGUAUUAAGAAACUUGGUGUUGAACUAUAUUUUUUCUUUCAUUUUGAGUGG